rnacentral:lncRNA from 1 species
GGGUUUAAUUAGAGAAAUCACAACAUUCUCCCACUUAGCCCAACCUAAUAUAAGCAUCUUCGUUUUCAAAUCUUUAAAUCAUUUCAAAAACCUUUGAUGAAAUAUUAUUUGGAUCUAAUAGUUGAUAAACUGAUGUGACCACAUUAAAAAAAAACUUAAUCCCUCCAUAGGAUAUAUAUACUUUAUAUUUGAUUAUAAAAUAAUUAUCAGUACGAAUCAUAGUGGCAAAUAUGUUAUCAAUCAACACUCGACCUUACAUGUAUCACA